GCCGGGCGCGGUGGCUCAAGCCUGUAAUCCCAGCACUUUGGGAGGCCGAGACGGGCGGAUCACGAGGUCAGGAGAUCGAGACCAUCCUGGCUAACACGGUGAAACCCCGUCUCUACUAAGUAGAGACGGGGUUUCACCGUGUUAGCCAGGAUGGUCUCGAUCUCCUGACCUCGUGAUCCGCCCGUCUCGGU
rnacentral:SRP_RNA from 1 species